UCUUAUGUCUCACUGUGUUGCAGGUUAAACUGGGCUAAGACCUGUACUAGCUGCAAACCUAAAAUAAAAGAUAGAAUUGCUAACAGACAAACAAAGCAAAACAUAAAGAUAAGCAAGGGAAACAAAAUCUUUAAAAUAAAAAAAAAAAAGAAAAAAGAAAAAAAAAGAGAGAGAGAGAGAGAAAGAAACAUGACAAAGGAAGAAACAGCAGAUCUUAACAGGAAACCUAUCAGCUAGAAACUGAGACUGGAAUUUGAGGAAGGAGGAGUGCAACUUCCUUCUCAGUCACUAAGUUCUCAUUUUUCUUUUCUUUCUCAUAGUGCCGGGCUGAUUUUCUGGGCUAAAAAAAAAACCAAAGAUUUGUUUAGAGUAGUUCUGAGCUCUCAGCAGUUCUCAUGUUUUUGCCAGUGCUUCCAGUGUUCAGCAUGGAUGCCUUUGACAGCCAAAGGAUGAAUGAGCAAUAGAAAAGGUUCAGCAACUCAGUGGUGUCUUCCUCUGGAUCCAGGGACCUAAAGGGCCAAGCUUUUAUAUCACAAAACCAAAAACAGGGAUUGGUGAGCACACUGUGAUUAAAUGGAAGCAGAAAUCACCUAUGCCGAAGUGAAGUUCAAGAAUGCAUCACCAACUGAAGAGGUUGAAGUACCUCAGAAGAAGCAGCAGCAGCACGAGCAACAUACGCAGACAUGCCCUCCAUGGCUCCCGUGGCUGAUCUCACUGCUCCUGCUCCUGGUGUGCGUUGCCCUUGUUGUUGUUCUCCUAGGUGAGUAUGUGCAGGCUGGUGACCAGGAGUCGGGAGAGAGGCUUGGGGGACAUGCUGGGAUAAAGGUGGAGAAGUCUGUCAGCAGAGGGGAACUUCUUCCAACCAGAAGGGAGAUUUUACUCAGGAACUGUGUUUUCAUGAAAAAGGGUGCAAACUCUAUCAUCAGGGAGUUUUUACGGGGUUGUGGUUGGAGAAAGAUAUUUCUUAUUACCCUGUAAGCCUUCAGGAAGCCUCACCUCUGGACAACUUUCUUCACCUUCUUCCCCUACCUCUUUCUUCAUUCUUCUUAGCCUAUGGGCAACCUCAGAGGCUCACAUUUGAAUUUCUCCAUUGCGUUCACAGUUCCCCUUCUGCAUACUUGUUGCCUGUGCACAGAACUGUUGUGGAGCAAGUCUAGCUGCAUCUGCAGGCCUAACUGCACACUUGCAAACUCACACCCCUUUUAAGUGUUUUUGGUGUUUCACUGGAAUAGUUCAUAAAAAAUGAUUCUUGCACACAUACUGGAGAUUAUGAUCACUGGUUCAAUCUCAUUUUCUGCUGAGGAUCAUUCAUGGCAUGUUUACACAAGUUGUUUGAAGUUAAUUGAAGUUAAUCAAUGUUACAUAUGAUUUUGAUGUGGCAGAGGGACACAACAAUGUAUUUAAUCAAAAUACAAGCACAAAUCACAAGUAGAAAAGAGUAGCAAUUGCAAAGCACUGUUGAAUCACGAUAUAAAUGUGACCCCAUUACCAAUCUCUGCAAUCUGUCCGCCACUGCAACGCUGAGGAUCCCCAGCGACCAAAAAGGAAUAUGUGGGUUAAAGCCAGCUCAGGCUCAUUGCUCUCCUCAGAGUUGUUUUUGUUGUUCAGUUUCCUA
rnacentral:lncRNA from 1 species